GCAGACACAUUCCAGCUAAUCAGCAGCAGACCCUCCCUCCCAGACCCUCCCACCUCCUGGACAGCAUCCAUUUUACAUUCAUUGUGAAGCUGCAUUCUUAGUGAGCUGUCCAGGAGGUGGGAGGGUCUGGGAGGGAGGGUCUGCUGCUGAUUGGCUGGAAUGUGUCUG
rnacentral:miRNA from 1 species